rnacentral:rRNA from 1 species
AUUGAACGCUGGCGGCAUGCUUUACACAUGCAAGUCGAACGGUAACAGGCCGCCAGGUGCUGACGAGUGGCGAACGGGUGAGUAAUGCAUCGGAACGUGCCCAGUCGUGGGGGAUAACUACUCGAAAGAGUAGCUAAUACCGCAUACGAUCUAUGGAUGAAAGCGGGGGACCGUAAGGCCUCGCGCGAUUGGAGCGGCCGAUGUCAGAUUAGGUAGUUGGUGGGGUAAAGGCUCACCAAGCCAACGAUCUGUAGCUGGUCUGAGAGGACGACCAGCCACACUGGGACUGAGACACGGCCCAGACUCCUACGGGAGGCAGCAGUAGGGAAUUUUGGACAAUGGGCGCAAGCCUGAUCCAGCAAUGCCGCGUGCAGGAAGAAGGCCUUCGGGUUGUAAACUGCUUUUGUACGGAACGAAACGGCUCUGGUUAAUACCCGGGGCUAAUGACGGUACCGUAAGAAUAAGCACCGGCUAACUACGUG